rnacentral:rRNA from 1 species
CAGUUCGGAUUGUAGUCUGCAACCCGACUACAUGAAGCUGGAAUCGCUAGUAAUCGCGAAUCAGAAUGUCGCGGUGAAUACGUUCCCGGGUCUUGUACACACCGCCCGUCACACCAUGGGAGUUGGAAAUGCCCGAAGCCGGUGACCGAACCUUAGGGACGGAGCCGUCGAAGGUGGAGCCAAUGACUGGGGUGAAGUCGUAACAAGGUAGC